ACGAACGCUGGCGGCGUGCUUAACCCAUGCAAGUCGAACGGUGAAGCGCCUUCCUUUUUGGUGGGUGUGGAUGAGUGGCGAACGGGUGAGUAACACGUGAGUAACCUGCCCCCUUCUUCUGGAUAACCGCAUGAAAGUGUGGCUAAUACGGGAUAUUCUGGGUCUGUCGCAUGAUGGGUCUGGGAAAGAUAUUGUUUCGGUGGGGGAUGGGCUCGCGGCCUAUCAGCUUGUUGGUGGGGUGAUGGCCUACCAAGGCGGUGACGGGUAGCCGGCCUGAGAGGGUGGACGGUCACACUGGGACUGAGACACGGCCCAGACUCCUACGGGAGGCAGCAGUGGGGAAUAGUGCACGAUGGGCGCAAGCCUGAUGCAGCGACGCCGCGUGAGGGAUGGAGGCCUUCGGGUUGUGAACCUCUUUCGCCAGUGAAGCAUGCCUGCCUCGUUUGUGGGUGGGUUGACGGUAACUGGAUAAGAAGCGCCGGCUAACUACGUG
rnacentral:rRNA from 1 species